ACUUGAUUGAGAUCAUCUGGCACACCAGCUGCUUCAUUAGCAGAGGGCUGAUAAAAGCCUGUCAGUAGAGCUUCAGGCAGAGACCUGCUGCUUCCAGGUGGAAGGUGCAGCAGCAGCCUUUGGCUGUGUGUAGGGCCCUAACCAUAGCCGGAUCGCAGGCAGUGUUUGGCCGCUCAUGCAACUCCUGUGCAGAGUCCUCUUGAGCUGCGGGAGCAGGUGCCGCUGUUUUGGUUUCCAUUGUUUGUUUCAUCCCUGCUCUGCCCAACCUGGUGCACUGUGGUCCAAGAGCGGUGCCACGGCCGGCAUUUUUGGGGAUCGUGUGUGCUCCAUACAGAGUGUCAGUGACUGCUGUCCAUCCACGCACUGGCGAGCGGUGUGACACAGCAGGAUUAACAGCUAUUGGAGCGAGUCCCCCCUUCUGGCCUUCCAUCGCCCCAGGCACCACCAGGCCCAGUGUCCCACCACCUAGGACUGGCGUCGGCUACGGCCACUGGAUGCAAGGGGUGUGGCAUUGAGCCGGGUGCACUGCAACAGAGCGCACAGCUGGGUGCAGCUGACUUGUGGGCUGGUUUUGUGACUCUUUUGGGUAUCUUUUAGAAUAGGAAUUUUAACAAUUUCAAAUAAAGGUUGUCUUUUUCUUUAAAAGCACAGUCUCGGUUUCCUGUGUCGGAGAGUCCUGCGCUUUUGGUUUUAGAUUUCUGCUGGCGGCAUUCACCGGGGAAACCA